UGUACCAACGAAACUAAAACCUCUGUGUUAUUUUAUUACUAGCAUGUUUGUGUUUAUGAAAAGGAAGCAACAAUGGAAAGUGAAUUUCCGUAAAGAAUAAAGAAUUUUGAAGCAUUUAUUUUCAUACCAACUUAUUGUAACAAAUGAUUAUGGAAGUAUCAAAGUAUGAAAUGAACGAUAAAUACAAACAUUAUUUGCAAAGUUCAUUUCAUUAUCAGCAACCCAGUAAAUACCUUUGCAUUGACGCAAGAAAAGAGAGGGUCAUAGCUGAGCCAUCAAAAACACAAUUGGUGACAAAAACUGGUCCACAUGAUCUUCCAUUUAAUGUUAAACUAAAGCAUUCACGACACAAUGUACGACCAAACAAACAUAUGAUAAAAAAAACGACCGACCCCAACAGCCUUUGCAAGUUGAAAACAAGACUAGCAAUAGAAUAUGUUCGUAGUCUUCUCCCGGAUAAACCACCACAAGAUCGUCCCGUAUCUCGACAAAAAAGUUUGAGAAAAAAUGGACCGUUGAAGACUCUCUUUUUCCCGGCAAGAUUUCUUUCUGAGCCUAGCGUUGCCAAAUGUCUAGGCAUCCAAAAUGAUCGCUUCAAAAACUCCUUCGAUGGUUUGCAAGUUUGUGAAAACGUCCAAAGUCUGGAUGUAUCAAGGUGUUCUUCAGCCAGCCAACGGAUCUCUCAAAACAGUUUGCCCGUUGAUCUUCGUAGGCUGUCGCUGGCAGAAGAAUGUGAGACAACUCAACUAGAUCAUUGUCAUGGUGUACAAGGGCAAGAUAGAAAUGACUUUGCACAAAAUCAACGAAUCAUUUCUGUAAAUGAAGAAGCAAAUGACAAUGUUAUUGAUAUUCAUGAUUCCAAACAGGCAGCUGGUGUUGAUGAAUGGACUGGUCAACUUUCUAAAGGUGAAAGGGAUUUAGAUAGCAAGAAAUCGUGUAACACAGAUCCUUUAGAUAGAAUCUAUGAUGCAGAUAUUCAUAAUGUUAUUAGCUCACAUGAUGAUAAAGACAAUCAUCUAAAAUCAACUCACUGCAAUGUGGAAUUAUCUUCCAGUGAUAGCGUAAAAAUAAACGAUGAUGUUUACAAAGAUCGAAUCAUUAAAAAGUUAUCAGUUUCUUCAAGAACGUGCUACUCUUCGACAGAAAAUGACUUUAAUUUGCUGGAGAACCGUGCUUCACAAAAGAAAACUAAAUGCAGAAUAACAAACAUGUCACGUAUUAAUUCAACAGAAAAAAACAAAGAUGACUCUUACUACUCCAAGUUCCAAGAAGAACAUAUUGAACAUGAACAUGAUCGUUAUUCAAACUUAGAUGGACAAAAUACUAACUACUCAGAAAUGUUACUAAAAAAAUGCACAAUGCAAUCUUCAAAUUCAAGAAACACCAUUUAUUUAAGGAAAAAAAAUACCAAACGUAAAUCAGACGAGGACAGUGUCCAUGUGAGAGAUAUUUGGAAAGCUUUGGUGGACGGUGGAUAUGACGUUUCUAGAAAAGAAAUCUCAAAAUACAAAUUUGAGUCGACAGAUUCAAGACAAAAAUCUGCACCCUCGAAACGAAACAGUUUUAUAAAUCAUCAAAAGACAAAUCAUGUUUUUCGAAAUAAGUCUGCAAAUUACAACAAGGAGAGCAUUGAAAUUCCUGUGAAUAAAUCAAUGGGCUGCUUUUUGCCAAAUGAUAAAAAACUUCGAUGUUUUAUCCCCAAACUAGAUGAGAAAAAAGAGUUAGAACAAAACAAAGAAACUUUUAAAAACAGUGAGACCAAUCAGCUUGAAAUUAUUGCAGUAAGGAAACCCGUGAAUAAGCUAUCAAGAAAUGAAAAGUCUCCGAUUUCUCUCGUUUGAAUUUCAAAGUCAAUACGAGCCCAAAAUUGGGUCAUUUUUUGUACUUUGCAUAUGGUUUGAAUAUGAAUCAAAACAGGUUGUCUAUACAACUACGGUGCAAAAUAAGAUCACGUCUUUGGGGAUUGCUAUUUGGCUACAGACUUGUUUUUAAUAAACGAGGUUCAUUUGGUAGUGACAUGGGCUUUCCAAACGUAGUCCAAGAUCCAGAAUGUUCCGUAGAAGGUUGUGUUUAUGAACUAUCGUCAGAAUAUCUACCGCUUUUGGAUAUAUGUAUUGCUUCUCCAAAGCAUUACAAGAGAUUGGUUCUACCUGUUUGGAUGUGUGAAAAUCCUGCUCGAUUUGAGCAUGGUAUAUGUCAACAAUGUGUUGCUGCAGUUGUUUAUGUUGCUCAAGAAAAAUAUAUCUCGCCAGAUUUUGUGCAACUGGAUACUUCAUUUACUUUGAAGCAGUGCUUUAUAGGAACUGAUUUACUUACUCCAAACUACGUUGAAUAUUUAAAAAGUUUCAGUAUAAAUCACGAAAAGUCAUUGCAGGAUUAGAAUAUGGUGUUAAACAUAAAGUGUUUCUUUAUCGCUGUAGUAAUUCCUCUCAACUUAAUCAUGAAAUAUGUAGAAUGAUGAAGCUGAUCAUCGUCCAGAUGAAAAAAAUUGCGCAAAAUUUUCCAAAUAUUCAUGAA